rnacentral:rRNA from 1 species
AUUGAACGCUGGCGGCAGGCCUAACACAUGCAAGUCGAACGAGUGGCGGACGGGUGAGUAAUGUCUGGGAAACUGCCCGAUGGAGGGGGAUAACUACUGGAAACGGUAGCUAAUACCGCAUACCAUCGGAUGUUCCCAGAUGGGAUUAGCUCGUGGGUGGGGUAACGGCUCACCUGGGCGACGAUCCCUAGCUGGUCUGAGAGGAUGACCAGCCACACUGGAACGGGGACACGGUCCAGACUCCUACGGGAGGCAGCAGUGGGGAAUAUUGCACAAUGGGCGCAAGCCUGAUGCAGCCAGGCCGCGUGUAUGAAGAAGGCCUUCGGGUGGUAAAGUACUUUCAGCGGGGAGGCGUUACCCGCAGAAGAAGCACCGGCUAACUCCGUGCCAGCAGCCGCGGUAAUUC